GUCAAAACACCAGUUCUCAUCCAAUCACUGAAGUUAAGCAACGUCAAGACUAGUCAGUACCUAGAUGGGUGACCACUUGGAAAUACCAGCUGCUGUAAG